rnacentral:lncRNA from 1 species
CCCCUUUUUACCUUACAUCUAUACACCUGGAAGUCUGGGCUGAGAAUGAUUUCUAGCAGACAAUAUCUGCACGAGCUAAAUUUUCCCCGGGAAUUCAAUCGAGCUCUCUGAUUGGUUGAGAAGGGAAAACAUUUUUAAUGCUAAUGCGAGGUUCGUUACGUCACUAAAAUUUAAUGAAUGAAAUAAAAAUCGGAAAGUAAUAAAAUAAUAAAAAGCAAUCUUUCUGGAAAAAUAAUUAAAAAUAGUAAUAAUGAAAUAAAUUAAAUGAACCAAAUAAAGUGACCCACAAACGUUACAUUACCCCCUUUCCCACAGAACAGAUAUGUCCGCAUAUCUGGCAAAAUCCAUGUGCUAGUUAACGCGCGCUGCUAUGCAAAGCUGGUGGUCUCGGGUGCAAGAAAUCAAAAUUUUCAAUUAAGAUUAAAACAUCUCCCCUCCUGAAAUAUACAAAUAAUUAUACAAGCUGAAAAAUAUAUUUACUCCACAUUAUUACGAAAAAAUAUAUCUCAGCCACCACCAACCACUCCACAUUAAAAUGUAUAUAAUUAUCUAUAAUAAGUGACAACAAAUGGCAUUAUUGAUUUUUAUUUUCUAAGAGAAAGCUUAACAGCCCUCUUUAAGGAAUAAUAAUAAGUCCUCAUUUUGGUUUUAUUCAAAUGGACACCAUCUGUUGUCAAUAGAAAUUUUGAUGUCAACCUCUUUGGUGUCCAAUACACUAGAAAACCUUUAAACUCCCUUUUUGUCAAAUUUACAAGUUCCAGAUUAAUCUGGGCUCUUCUGCCUGCAUAUACAGACCUUGAAACUCUAGUUUUCAACCUAUGAAACAAUUGAACUAUAACCACCUUUUUUACAUUUUUAGACUUCAAAUGUCUCAAAAACUCUUUAAAAGUCUCUAUAAAAGUAUUAACCUUGAAAUUAUGGUUAUCUAUGUCAUUACCUCCAAUUUGUAAUACUACUAUUGUAGGAGAAAAAUUAGUGAUCAAUCUUUGAAAGACAUGAUCUUGUAUCAUAUUGCACAAUUUUGUACCACCUUUACCAUACAUAAUACCAUUAAUAUAAGUAAUACCAAAGUUGGUUGACAUCCUAUUCAUUUUACAAUAAUUAGAUAAUCUUCGAAUAUAACUAUGUCCCAAAGUAAGUACAGUGGGAUUCAUUUUUAAUCUUUAAAUCUAUUUUCCCAAUAUAAUUUUAAUAUAUCUUUACUUUUGGUUUCUGAAAUUUAACCCUGAAAAAUAAAUUGUAAGGUGAUAUUAAUAUUGAAUUAGUCAUGAUUAACCGAAAUAAAAUCUAUUUAUAAUUACAUUAUGUUUUUCUUAAAAUAAAAGAAACGAAAGUCCUUGUUCAACACCUGAUUCCUAGCGAAAAAAGUUCAUCUCCACCAACACGAAAUCAGUGUAAGCGUUGAAUAAUGAUAAAGAUCUGACGCACUUCCAAGAU